rnacentral:rRNA from 1 species
AGCGAACGCUGGCGGCAGGCCUAACACAUGCAAGUCGAGCGGCCAUCCUUGUGGUGCUUGCUCCUGCCGGGUGCGUAAGGCGUGCGAACGUGCCCUUCGUUUGGAACUACCUCUGGGUAACUUAUCCUAUUACCGAAUAUGUGCUAAUGCCGCAUGGUUUCUCUGCCUAAGGUGCGGCCCGCUUCUGAUUAUCUGGUUUGUAAGGUUAGGGCGCCCCAAGCCGUCGUUCACUAGCUGGUCUGAGAGGAUGACCAGCCACACUGGCAGUUAGAACCGGCCCAGACUACUACGGGAGGCAGCAGUGGGGAAUAUAGGAAAAUGGGGGGAAGGCUGAACGAGCCAGGCCGCGUGAGUGAUGAUGGCCGUAGGGAUGUAAAGCACGUUUCUACGGGACGAUAAUGACGGUACCGGAGGAAUAAGCCCCGGCUAACUUCGUG